rnacentral:misc_RNA from 1 species
GAUGAAGAACGUAGCGAAAUGCGAUAAGUAAUGUGAAUUGCAGAAUUCAGUGAAUCAUCGAAUCUUUGAACGCACAUUGCGCCCGCCAGUAUUCUGGCGGGCAUGCCUGUUCGAGCGUCAUUUCAACCAUCAAGCCCCCGGCUUGUGUUGGGGACCUGCGGCUGCCGCAGGCCCUGAAAAGCAGUGGCGGGCUCGCUGUCACACCGAGCGUAGUAGCAUACAUCUCGCUCUGGGCGUGCUGCGGGUUCCGGCCGUUAAACCACCUUCAUAACCCAAGGUUGAACUCGGAUCAGGUAGGAAGACCCGCUGAACUUAAGCAUAUCAAUAAGCGGAGGA